ACACUUCCUCAAAACAAAGGGAACCUGUCACACAAUUGUCCAAAAAAAGAAGAAAAAAGAGAACCUCACACUCUCCGACCAUCAGACGUGGCUCUUGCCUGAUCCCCUUUUCAUCUCCUUCUAUCCCCUCGUACCAAAAUUGCUUCCACCCGAGCGCUGCAGAUUCAAUUCUGAAUAAAACUUAGUUUCCCCUCUUGAUUCCUUGCCGUGAUCUUGCUCGUCCUCACCUGCACGCACCUUUGCAGCUCGGCUCACUGGUGCGGCGACGGCGUGACCAUCUACGGCGCCUGGUUUUCCCCGAUGUAUGCCUCCUCAAUCUCUUAUGCUGGUCAACGGCGGCGGAGGGGUAGCAGGGCUCGACGAGAAGCUGAGCAAUAGAGGAGGCUAGCUUGUCGAUCUUGACAGUGCCGUUGUCGACUGUCGUCGCCGUCCUUGGAGGCGAUAUGGGUGUGGAUCCCGUCUGCUACAGCGAGCUUGGAUCCACAUCAUAUCGUGGCUGUCCCCGAGCAAGACCAGCCCAGCAGGUCGUCUUGCUCCUCGAUAGAGUUGCAGAUGGCAUGUCAUGUCGUGCUAAUCUCACGUCGUGAUAGUUCAAGUCUGGUACUUCAAUUGCAGAUGAUGGUCCAGCUGCUGGAGGUGAUCUGCUCACCUGAUGGAAUCGACGGCACACAACUGAGAAGAUUGGGGCACUUGCUCGUGAGAGUUCUUUCUUAGGAAAACCUGAUGGAGCCGAUGGCACAAUCGAGGAGAUUGGGGCACUCGCUCGUGAGAGUUCUUUUUUUUAGGGAAAACCAUCAUGGCGAUGUAUAUUGAUUUGGAAUAAUAGUACAUCAUCGGCAGGAUUGCUUGUGAUGGUAUGAGUCGAACCUAUGGUGAGUUUUGUUUAUGAGAUCGUGAGAUCGAUUGUGAGAUUUGUGUAAAGAACACGGGACGGAUCAAAAAAUGGUUUCUGAGAUCAGCGUAUAGGAAAUGGCAAAAAGACAGAACGGCAUGCAUGCAA